GAUCAAGCGUUAAAGGGCUUCUGACGGAUGCCUUGGCGUAGAGAGGCGAAGAAAGACGUGGCAAGCUGCGAUAAGAACCGGGGAGGCGCUAGCACCCUUUGAUCCGGUUAUUUCUGAAUGGGGAAACCCACCUUUACGGCCCUCUCAUUUUAGUGAGCAAGUUAAGUGGACGAUCUGCUUUUCCGAACCUGUCACGCAGGUGAGGCAAGGCCGACCGGCCGCCCGAGCUUAUGCGAGGAACUCGAUGCCUUUGGCAUCGCACUAAAGUGAGUUGGUUGUUGAAAGGUAUAAUAAACUGAAUACAUAGGUUUAUUAGGCAAACCCGGUGAACUGAAACAUCUCAGUAACCGGAGGAAAGGACAUCAACCGAGACUUCCCUAGUAGUGGCGAGCGAACGGGAACCAGGCCAGUGCUCUUGUGAUAUAAAGUCGAACGACAUGGAAAGGUCGACCAUAGCGGGUGAUAGUCCCGUAGACGUCAAAUAGCAAGAGACUCGAGUAGGGCGGGACACGUGAAAUCCUGUCUGAACAUGGGGGGACCACCCUCCAAGCCUAAGUACUCCUCUACGACCGAUAGUGAACAAGUACCGUGAGGGAAAGGUGAAAAGCACCCCGACAAGGGGAGUGAAACAGAUCCUGAAAUCGGAAGCCUACAAGCAGUUGGAGCACCCAAGCGGUGUGACAGCGUACCUUUUGUAUAAUGGGUCAGCGACUUCAUGUGCCGAGCAAGCUUAAGCCGUUAGGUGUAGGCGUAGCGAAAGCGAGUUUGAAUAGAGCGUUAAGUUCGUUGCAUGACGACCCGAAACUAGGUGAUCUAUCCAUGAGCAGGAUGAAGGUUGGGUAACACCAACUGGAGGUCCGAACCCGUGAAUGUUGAAAAAUUCUGGGAUGACUUGUGGAUAGGGGUGAAAGGCCAAUCAAACCUAGACAUAGCUGGUUCUCCGCGAAAUCUAUUUAGGUAGAGCGUCGGAUUUAUUCCUUGGGGGGUAGAGCACUGAAUGGAUGCGGGCGGCGCGAGCUGUACCAAUUCUAAUCAAACUCCGAAUACCCAAGAGAACUGUCCGGCAGACACACUGUGGGUGCUAACGUCCAUGGUGAAAAGGGAAACAACCCUAACCUACAUCUAAGGCCCCCAAAUUAUGGCUAAGUGGGAAACGAUGUGGGAUUGCAUUGACAACCAGGAGGUUGGCUUAGAAGCAGCCAUCCUUUAAAGAAAGCGUAACAGCUCACUGGUCAAGCGAUCCUGCGCGGAAAAUGUAACGGGGCUAAAGCCAUAUGCCGAAGAUUAGGGCUUGCACUUAGUGCAAGCGGUAGCGGAGCGUUCUGUAAGCCUGUGAAGGUCACUCGUGAGGGUGGCUGGAGGUAUCAGAAGUGAGAAUGCUGACAUGAGUAGCGAUAAAGAGUGUGAGAGACACUCUCGCCGAAAGACCAAGGGUUCCUACGUAAAGCUAAUCUGCGUAGGGUUAGCCAGCCCCUAAGGCGAGGCCGAAAGGCGUAGUCGAUGGGAACCAGGUAAAUAUUCCUGGGCCAGUAUGAAGUGACGGAUGGCAUAACUUGUAAGGGCUUAUUGGAUUGUCCUUGCAGGGGCGUUGUCCCUGGAAAUAACUCAUACAGAGACUGUACCCGAAACCGACACAGGUGGUCAGGUAGAGUAUACCAAGGCGCUUGAGAGAACUAUGCUGAAGGAACUCGGCAAAUUACACGCGUAACUUCGGGAUAAGCGUGACUUACUCUGGGCAACCAGAACUAAGUGGCACAGGCUAGGGGGUAGCGACUGUUUAUCAAAAACACAGGGCUCUGCGAAGCUGUAAAGCGACGUAUAGGGUCUGACGCCUGCCCGGUGCCGGAAGGUUAAAAGGAGUGGUGAGAGCUGCGAAUUGAAGCCCCGGUAAACGGCGGCCGUAACUAUAACGGUCCUAAGGUAGCGAAAUUCCUUGUCGGGUAAGUUCCGACCUGCACGAAUGGCGUAACGACUUCCCCACUGUCUCCAGCAUAGGCUCAGCGAAAUUGAAUUCCCCGUGAAGAUGCGGGGUUCCCGCGGUCAGACGGAAAGACCCUAUGAACCUUUACUAUAGCUUCGCCUUGGCGUUAGCAUCAACAUGUGUAGGAUAGGUGGGAGGCUAUGAAACGAGGGCGCCAGUUCUCGUGGAGCCAUCCUUGAAAUACCACCCUUAUUGUUGCUGACGUCUAACCGCGGCCCGUAUAUCCGGGUCCGGGACAUGGCGUGGUGGGUAGUUUGACUGGGGCGGUCGCCUCCCAAAGUGUAACGGAGGCGCGCGAUGGUGGGCUCAGAACGGUCGGAAAUCGUUCGACGAGUGCAAUGGCAUAAGCCCGCCUGACUGCGAGACUGACAAGUCGAGCAGAGACGAAAGUCGGCCAUAGUGAUCCGGUGGUCCUGCGUGGAAGGGCCAUCGCUCAACGGAUAAAAGGUACUCUAGGGAUAACAGGCUGAUUUUGCCCAAGAGUCCAUAUCGACGGCAAAGUUUGGCACCUCGAUGUCGGCUCAUCACAUCCUGGGGCUGGAGCAGGUCCCAAGGGUAUGGCUGUUCGCCAUUUAAAGUGGUACGUGAGCUGGGUUCAGAACGUCGUGAGACAGUUUGGUCCCUAUCUGCCGUGGGUGUUCGAGACUUGAGAGGAUCUGUCCCUAGUACGAGAGGACCGGGAUGGACAUACCUCUGGUGGACCUGUCGUGGCGCCAGCCGCGCAGCAGGGUAGCUAAGUAUGGAAUAGAUAACCGCUGAAAGCAUCUAAGCGGGAAACUAACCUCAAAACAAGGUCUCGCUGAGGAUCGUGGAAGACUACCACGUUGAUAGGCUGGGUGUGGAAGCUCCGUGAGGAGUGAAGCUAACCAGUACUAAUAAUCCGAUCGGCUUGAUCGU
rnacentral:rRNA from 1 species